rnacentral:rRNA from 1 species
UUCCAGCUCCAAUAGCGUAUAUUAAAGUUGUUGCAGUUAAAAAGCUCGUAGUUGGAUUUCUGGCAGGAGCGACCGGUCACACACUCUGUGUGCAAACUUGCGCUGUCUCUGGCCAUCCUCGGGGAGAUCCUGUUUGGCAUUAAGUUGUUGGGCAGGGGAUACCCGUCGUUCACUGUGAAAAAUUAGAGUGUUUAAAGUAGGCUUAUGCCGUUGAAUAUAUUACUUUGGAACUAUUUUGUUGGUUUGCGUUACGAGUAAUGAUUAAUAGGGUCAGUUGGGGGUAUUCGUAUUCCGUUGUCAGAGGUGAAAUUCUUGGAUUUACGGAAGACGAACAACUGCGAAAGCAUUUACCAAGGAUGUUUUCAUCA